CAGAUCGAUUCUAAACGCAAAAAAGUUCAAAGUAAUCGAAGAUGAAGUUCUUACUUUUAAUUUUUGUCGCUUUGAUUUUCGUCGCUAAAACCUGUGCACAAUACGGAACAUAUUUUAAAGAUAAACCAAGCUAUAAAAAAUGUGUCCGCGGUUCUUGUUAAAUCGAAAAAUUUGUUACAAGUAAAUAGACAAAUUAUAGGCUUUUUAUGUUGAGAAAAAGUUCGACGAAAAAAAUUUCAACGAGGAAACUGCCUGAUGACUAGAAAGAGGGCAAAUACAUGAUACUUUUUUCCAGGUAAUCAUAAAUUGUAACUGAUGUUGAUAAAAUUAGAAAAUAUAGGUACUGGCCAUCUAGUGUUGAAGUCCAAAAGCAUAUUAUCAUAUUCAAAGUGCGAGUAUUCACUCGUCUGAAUAUUUUUUGAAACAGCUGUUAGAUUGUCAUUUUCGGAUAAUUGCAUUCAAAUAGAGAAAUAUAAAUCAUGCUCACAAUAAGUUAAAUCGCAAUGUUUUGUUCUAAUAUUUUUAGAAAUAUAUACAUCAAUACUGUACCACGAUUAUUAUGCGAAAAAAUUUCCGAAGAAGAUUCCAUUGGUUCGAAUAUAAAAACGAUCGUCAAUUAUAACUAAUUUAUUGUUAAACAUAACUUAUACCGGAUUAUCUCAAUUUUUGAUACGAAAAUAAAAAAAACCGUGUCUACCAAUUACAUUGUUUUUACCGGCGACCGUAAGGUUUGUAUGCGGGCGUAAUGUAUCGCACGAAGCAACAGUAUUAUGGAUAAUAGAAGCACCGGGUAAACGUCCUACAUUGUGGGGAGGGGUCAGCACUUGACGUCAGUCUUGCACGUCUACAUAAUACGAAGCGUCGUUCUGUGUAAAAGUACUUAUAAAUAACCGGUCUUUAUUUAUAUAAAACAUCAUAUCGCGGCUUCGACAUCGAGUCCAUUAUUAUCUAUCGGUUAUCCGUAAAACAUACUUGAUUAUCUUUUUUUAUAACACACAUCGCACCACGAGCUUCAUUCAAAGUGUCGUUGGUCUUUGAAAAAAAAAAAAAAAUACAUAAAUGAAUAAAGUGUACGUAUA